rnacentral:rRNA from 1 species
CCUACGGGAGGCAGCAGUGAGGAAUAUUGGUCAAUGGACGAGAGUCUGAACCAGCCAAGUAGCGUGAAGGAUGACUGCCCUAUGGGUUGUAAACUUCUUUUAUAAAGGAAUAAAACGAGGCACGUGUGCCUUUUUGCAUGUACUUUAUGAAUAAGGAUCGGCUAACUCCGUGCCAGCAGCCGCGGUAAUACGGAGGAUCCGAGCGUUAUCCGGAUUUAUUGGGUUUAAAGGGAGCGUAGAUGGGUUGUUAAGUCAGUUGUGAAAGUUUGCGGCUCAACCGUAAAAUUGCAAUUGAUACUUGCAAGCGGGAAUGCGGUAGAGGUAAAGGGAAUUCCUGGUGUAGCGGUGAAAUGCUUAGAUAUCAGGAGGAACAUCGGUGGCGUAAGCGCUUUACUGGGCCGUAAUUGACGCUGAGGAACGAAAGCCAGGGUAGCAAAUGGGAUUAGAUACCCCGGUAGUC